rnacentral:rRNA from 1 species
AGAGUUUGAUCCUGGCUCAGGAUGAACGCUGGCGGCGUGCCUAACACAUGCAAGUCGAACGGAAUUUACAUGAAGCCUAGCGAUUGUAAAUUUAGUGGCGGACGGGUGAGUAACGCGUGGGUAACCUGCCUUGUACUGGGGGACAACAGUUGGAAACGACUGCUAAUACCGCAUAAGCGCACAGCUUCGCAUGAAGCAGUGUGAAAAACUCCGGUGGUACAAGAUGGACCCGNGUCUGAUUAGCUGGUUGGUGAGGUAACGGCCACCAAGGCGACGAUCAGUAGCCGGCCUGAGAGGGUGAACGGCCACAUUGGGACUGAGACACGGCCCAAAUCCUACGGGAGGCA